CGUAUCAUUGUGCCUCGCAUCCUGUGCGGGGCGAUAAGUCCUCACAUGAAAGGGAUGAUAUGAC
rnacentral:ncRNA from 1 species